UACGUAGGGGGCAAGCGUUGUCCGGAAUUAUUGGGCGUAAAGAGCGCGUAGGCGGUCCGAUAAGUCGGCUGUGAAAGUCAGGGGCUCAACCCUUGAAAGCCGGCCGAUACUGUCGGACUAGAGUCCGGAAGAGGCAAGUGGAAUUCCCGGUGUAGCGGUGAAAUGCGCAGAUAUCGGGAGGAACACCAAUGGCGAAGGCAGCUUGCUGGGACGGUACUGACGCUGAGGCGCGAAAGCGUGGGGAGCAGACAGG
rnacentral:rRNA from 1 species